rnacentral:lncRNA from 1 species
CACAAGCCCCGCACUCACACACACAUAACCCCACACACACAACCCCCGCACUCACACACACAUAACCCCUGCACUCACACACUUUCACACACACAUAUGCAGUCACACAUAUGCACAGCACACACACAUCUCACAUGCACAGUCACAUGCACACACCCAAACACACUCACAGUCACACACACAUCCACACUCACCCAGUCACAUCCACACAUGGCAUGAAGUCACACAUACAUCCACACACAUUCACGUAUACUCACACAUACAUCCUCAGUCACACACACACACCCUCACACACACACCACACAGCCACACACAUACAUCCACAUGCAUGUACACUCACAGUCACCUACAGUCACACAUACCUAUACAUACAAAAUACACAGUCACACACACACACUCAUACACACACACACCCUAACAGAACGGCACACAUGACUUUUUGCUCAAAGCCAGCCAGCUCUCUGCAGCCUUCUGCUGCCUGAGCCUCUCAUCCUGGAGGGCGCAUCUCCGAACACCACAGUGCGGGAAGGACCCGGUGGCCCCCAUGGCAGGGGCUAUCCAGCCCCAGGGGAGUGGGUGGCAAGGGCAGAGUGAGCAGCUGCCCUACUUCCCAAGGGGGCCUCAAGCCCACUGGACGGAACAG